rnacentral:snRNA from 1 species
GCAUGAGGGUGGUCUGGCAGUGACAUUCACCACCUCGUUGAUCACCAGGGCUGAUCUGGCUGGUGGGUGGCUGGGUGGGUGUCCUCUUCCUCCUUCGCUACUGCACGUGCGUCCCUCCUGGAGCUGCAAGCUCCGUUACAGGGGACGACACAAGGAGGAGUGUUUUCCUGUCAAGGAUGUGUGAGUGGCUGCACUCUUCUGCUAGAACCUCCGAACAAGGUUUCAAGAUACAGAUGUCCCUGGGGUCUUUGGCUUGUGAGACUGUAACCAUCAUGUGUUUUGCCCUUUACUUCUUUCUGCAGCAAAGCAGUUGAGAGCUUAGCUCAAGGGG